rnacentral:lncRNA from 1 species
CUGGCGGAGUUCAUCGUUGCUAAAAGUGCUGUCGAGUCCGUGCUGUCUGAGCACAGAGUGGUUGUGGGGAGAGUAGAAGUCGUGAACAAACUUGCAUUCCUUCCUGGCCUGCUGGUUGCGGCAGACGCCUUUCAGGUGGUACUUGCAGAGGUGCAGCCGCCCGCAGCCCCCUCGGCAGCCCGCGCCGUGCUCCAGGCACAGCCGCAGCGAGCUGGUGGCCACCACCAGCACCGUUUCUUCCGC